rnacentral:rRNA from 1 species
AGGACCUUGUGCUUUUGGAGCGGCCGAUGCCUGAUUAGCUAGUUGGUAGGGUAAAGGCUUACCAAGGCUUCGAUCAGUAGCUGGUCUGAGAGGACGACCAGCCACACUGGGACUGAGACACGGCCCAGACUCCUACGGGAGGCAGCAGUGGGGAAUUUUGGACAAUGGGGGAAACCCUGAUCCAGCCAUGCCGCGUGAGUGAAGAAGGCCUUCGGGUUGUAAAGCUCUUUCAGCCGGAACGAAACGGUUACGAUUAAUACCUGUAACUACUGACGGUACCGGAAGAAGAAGCACCGGCUAACUACGUGCCAGCAGCCGCGGUAAUACGUAGGGUGCGAGCGUUAAUCGGAAUUACUGGGCGUAAAGGGUGCGCAGGCGGUUUUGUAAGUCAGAUGUGAAAUCCCCGGGCUUAACCUGGGAACU